AUUGAACGCUGGCGGCAUGCUUUACACAUGCAAGUCGAACGGGGUGAGGGGGCAACCUCUCAUCUAGUGGCGAACGGGUGAGUAAUGCAUCGGAACGUGUCCCGUAGUGGGGGAUAACCCGGCGAAAGCCGGACUAAUACCGCAUAUGCUCUACGGAGGAAAGUGGGGGACCUGUAAGGGCCUCACGCUAUGGGAGCGGCCGAUGUCCGAUUAGCUUGUUGGUGAGGUAAUGGCUCACCAAGGCGACGAUCGGUAGCUGGUCUGAGAGGAUGAUCAGCCACACUGGGACUGAGACACGGCCCAGACUCCUACGGGAGGCAGCAGUGGGAAUUUUGGACAAUGGGGCAACCUGAUCCAGCCAUGCCGCGUGCGGGAAGGAGGCCUGGU
rnacentral:rRNA from 1 species